rnacentral:lncRNA from 1 species
GCCACAUCCAGGCUGGAGGGAGGCGAUGGGGCAGGAGGUUCUCCACGCCCACCCCACCACAAUGUGGCGCAGAGGGAUGGGUCCCGCAGCACCUGUCCUACACUGCAGUCCUUGCAGGCACGACUUCCCACCCACAGCAUCCCGAAGCUUCCUGGAGGAAGAGAUUACAGAAGAGGAUUAGAUAUAAAUCUCCGCUGCUGCAGUAAAUCACCGUUUUCGCUGCUGCCAACUCUGCCAAAAGGAGAGGCAGCGCUGAGCGGUGCUCCCCGAGGAGCGUGGCAGCUCUGCUGACCCCAAUUAUUUCAGCACGAUAAAUCACCGCCUCUCCCUGCUCUGCCGUAAAGCACUGCUGGUGUUAAACACCAGGCAGGUGAGGGAGGAAAUGGUGCUGAGUUUGCAGCAGAGGUGAAUGCAUCCUCAAUGGGAGGGAGAACCAAGAGGAGAAGUGAUGCUGCGCCGCCACUCAAUAGAGGUUUUUGGGUGAACGAUGCUUGCCAUUCCGUUCAGCUGCUGGUAAUAGACCAGUGCCUGUGCAGUGCUGCAGAAAACACUCUAAGAAAUGCAAUGGAAAUCUUGCGUGGAGGAACAGACUGUCAAGCAGCUCUGCUGGGAAUGCCAGAAGGCUUUCUUGCCUUCACACAAUCAGCUAAUAGCUUUGCUGACAGAUAUUUAUCAGCCUGAGCACGCUUUCCCUGAGCUUGGAAAAAUAGAAGCCUACUCCUGGCCCCAAUAAAACUCAGCCUGAUUCCCCAGAACGAGCCGCCCGUGUAUCAGUCGUCCUCCUGGAGUCGUUAGGAGCAAAAUGGCCAAAGCAGGACGUCAAGCCACCCAAGGACGUUGGGGGCAUUCUUUCCAGUGCUAAGGGGAAGGAAGAUGGAUGGACCCUCCCAGCAAACACCGGGCUCAGCCCUUUCCGAUUCCCGGUUCUGAGAAGGGAAAUUUUGCAUUGAAGGCAGUGAUUUUUGUACAUCUUUGGAGCGUGGCAGGUUUGUAAAAGCUCUCUGUGUAUAUGAG